UACGUAGGGUGCGAGCGUUAAUCGGAAUUACUGGGCGUAAAGGGUGCGCAGGCGGUUUUUUAAGCCAGAUGUGAAAUCCCCGGGCUCAACCUGGGAAUGGCAUUUGGGACUGCAAGGCUAGAGUGUGGCAGAGGAGACUGGAAUUCCCGGUGUAGCAGUGAAAUGCGUAGAUAUCGGGAGGAAUACCGAUGGCGAAGGCAGGUCUCUGGGCUGACACUGACGCUCAUGCACGAAAGCGUGGGGAGCAAACAGG
rnacentral:rRNA from 1 species